ACCUAAGUAAAUAUCAAAUGUAUUGAAAGCAUUUGCAUGAUGUGCAACUGGCAGUUUAAGGCAAUUCUGUGUUUGUCUGGUACCUGUGGCAAGGAACCUUAGAUCAACAUUCAACUGUAUGGUAUGCCCUCUCUUAUGUAAAGCUACAUUCAUAUACAUUGCUGCAGAUAUAAAGAUAUACUGUUCUGUUGCAAAGAUAACUGUUGACUGCUUGAUGCUAUCCAAGUAAAUUGACUUGUUGACUUAUUAGCCUAUAGGCUGUGGGCAUUUUUCCAGAAUUAAGACAUUCUCACACCAUAAAGUUGAACGGAAUAUUUUUGAACCAGUUGCCUUAUGCCUGGAAACAAAUUUUGACUAGCAAUUAAAUUUUUGUUAUCUUAUAUCUUAUUGCAAGCUCAAGAAUCUAGGAGCCCCAAAGCCCUGAUAUUUUUAGAUCUACUUUUCGUUUAUUGGCUAGAUUGAAGCAGCAGCUGUAGGAAGCUAGAUUAUGGUUCAUCUCAUUUUUUAAAAAUCCGCUUUGGUAGGAUUUCGUAAUAUUUUUCCUGCAAACUCUGCCUAUUUUUUUUGAGAGCACAAUCUUGGGGUAAGUCCAUUGCCAUGGUUUCAAGAGUUUUAUUUGGGAAAAUCCAUAUACAGCCAGAUCAUUUUUUGUUGUGUUCUAUUUCAUUCUAAAACAAUUAUGUUGUUAUCUGUUAAAUGACGGCAUUGGUUUUGUGGUUUUAUCUAUGGCUAUUUUUUGUGCUCUAUAAAAUUAAAUAGUUACUCUUUACCAUUGGACAAGAGCAUUUUACUGUAAUUUCUCCAUCAAAAUAUAUACAAAGUCACCCAGAUUUAAAGAGCAGGUUAUAGAGAAAGUUUGUCGGUUAAACCAAGAAACAUGAUAACGGGACAAACCGGCAAUCAACAGAGAGAACGAAAAUUUAGAGGCGGUAGAUCUGGCAACAAAUCUGGAUCCUUAAUCAGAAAAUGAGUCGGCUAAGCCAGAAAUCAAUCUAUUUGGUAAAAAAUUGAGUAUUUUUAAGACUGAAUUUUAUGAUUUUAAAAAUUGUACAAAAAUCAGGUGGGCAAGCCUAGACAUUCCGGAUUUGAAUACCCAUUUCAUUUGGGGAAGGGGCUCUUUUUAGCCCACAUCUUUUUCUCUCAAAUCCAAAUAGAAUUGUGUCACAGAAUAUAUUCAUGGCUUAUUUCUUAUAUUGUGAUUGCAUUUUUUUCUAUUCAAAAUGAAGCCAUCAAAAGUUUUAAUGGUCGUUGUUGAAGCAGUCAUGUCUACUGCUUUGGAUUUAGCUUCAGAUUUUCGGGGCCAAACACAUGACUCUCAGAUCAGCACUUUCUCCUUGGCAAGGGGGAAAAUGAGCAAUUCGGAGAGACAUCCAUCUGAGAAAUUGCAGUGCAGACCAUGUAAUGAAGAUAAGUUCACUUUGAAGUUUGAUGGGCUUGGCUUUAUUGAAACUCUUGUAAUUGCUUAUAGAUAGGGUUUCUAGGGUUUCAAAUAGGAUCUUGUUUUGUUUUUGGUUUCAUGGGGAUUAUUCUUAUGGGAUUUGGAUUCAGUUUUGGCAGGUUUCCUGGAUGAGAUAGUGAAGACUAAAUUUCUAUCUUUAAUUUGAUAUUUGUGGGAGUAAUAUUGCCACCAUUCUAAAUUCUUUGCUCUGCUGAAUUUAAAAAAAAGUGGAUGAAGGGUUUGUAUUUGGGGAUCAAAAUUUUAGUUAAGACUAAAUUUCUAUCUCUAAUUUGAUACUUGUGGGAGUAAUAUUGCUACCAUUCUUAAUUCUUUGCUUUGCUGAAUUAAAGAAAAAAGUGGAUGAAGGUUUUGUAUUUGGGGAUCAAAAUUUUGUGUAUGCAUUUGUACUGCUAAAGAGGUUGGGCAAUGCUUAGUUGUAAUGUAAACUUGAAAAGAUUUAUGAGAAAGCUUUGCAUUGUGUUAUGAGACUUUUA